AGUUGGUAAGGUAAUGGCUUACCAAGGCUAUGACGGGUAGGGGACCUGAGAGGGUGGCCCCCCACAAUGGAACUGAAACACGGUCCAUACACCUACGGGUGGCAGCAGUAGGGAAUAUUAGUAAUGGGCGAAAGCCUGAACUAGCAACGCCGCGUGUGCGAAGAAGGCCUUCGGGUUGUAAAGCACUUUUAGAGAGGAUGAGGAAGGACGGUACUCUCAGAAUAAGUCUCGGCUAACUACGUGCCAGCAGCCGCGGUAACACGUAGGAGGCGAACGUUAUCCGGAUUUACUGGGCGUAAAGCGCGUGUAGGUGGUUUGGUAAGUAGGGCGUGAAAGCUCCCGGCUCAACUGGGAGAGGCCGUUCUAAACUGCCAAGCUAGAGGAUGGUAGAGGGAGGUGGAAUUCCGGGUGUAGCGGUGGAAUGCGCAGAUAUCCGGAGGAACACCAGUGGCGAAGGCGGCCUCCUGGGCCACUCCUGACACUCAGACGCGAAAGCUAGGGUAGCAAACGGGAUUAGAGACCCCGGUAGUCCUAGCCCUAAACGAUGUAGACUUGGCGUCGGUGGUUUAAACGCCAUCGGUGUCGCAGCUAACG
rnacentral:rRNA from 1 species